AUUCAAUCCCUGCAAAAAUCCUCUGAGGGGAGCACUUAAGAGCCUCUCAUUUUCCAAAAGAAGAAACUGAAGGAUAGAUCUCUAGAACCCUGAAGUUCCUGUGUUCUCAUUAACAAUUCUAUGACCUACUUUAGUUUUGAAUGUAAUUCCACAGCAGAUGGCUGGAACGUGGUCUGGGGGAUUAAGCGAGCCUUUUCAGAUUAAUGCCAAGAAAAUAUAUGCAGAAGAGACACCCAUGUCAUUGAACAAGAGGUUCUAAUAUUACAUAACAGGGUAGUGGUAUGUAGCUGUAGUGGUAUGUGCUCUCUCUCAAUGCUGAGCUGCAGCUCCCAGUCAGCCACUGGAUCAUGAGGGUAAAAUACGGAUACUUGACAUCUUCUUAAAGAACAUCAUGCCUGCUAAGCCAUCCAGUUUGGAUGCCCCAGUGCCUUCCACCAGCCAUUCUCAAGCCUCAUUAGAAGAGAGAGAUUGAUGACCCUGUAGCUGCAGCAUCCCAUCAUCCUGCAUUUUAGUUCAAUGCUUCAAACGUUCUUCAGGCCCAGUGUGCUUUCAGCUGUGUAUGUUAAUGGGAGAGUGAGCAAGUUUCGUCCUUGUGCCUGCAUCUGCUGGGAAACGAUAAGAGCCCAACAUAUGUUAGAAGCAACAAUCGCAGACAAAGAGUACAACUUGUUUUUGAAGACUCAAACUGAAACACUGGCCCUUCCUGAGUCUCAAGCCUGCUGGCCUUUGGGCUGGAACUAAACCCUCAGCUCUCCUGUGUCUCCAACCUGCCCGCUCUGCCUAGUGAUCUUGGGACUUCCCAGACUUUAUAAUCAUGUGAGCCGAUUCCUUAUAAUUAAAUCUCUUCGUAUAUUAACACACAUCCUGUAGGCUCUGUUCUCUGGAGAACCGAGCUAAUAUGCUGUGUUAAAGCAUUUUCAGAGAUAAGAAACUCAUGUGCUAAGUGAGUCCAAGGCCAAGCAGUUAGCCCAUCAGAGAACCAAGAGCUGGACUGGGAAAUUUUGUCUUCUCAUGGCCUUGCCUGUAUUCAUCCCUCCAUCCUUCUACUCCUCCCUUUAUUCAGCAAGCAUUUGUUACAUAGAGCUAACAAUUGAGCUACUUUACAAUUUGCUUAAAAUAAAUAUUUUGCAAUGACCUCCUUGCCUACAACCCCAAUCACACUCAGCAUUUCAGUAGCACACAAUACAGUUGUGCCCGCCUUCCCCAACAGCACCCCCUGCUGGUUUUCCUCCUACUUCAUCAAGGGUCCUCUCGGUUCUCUUUGCUGCGUCUUCCUCAGGUACGUGACAUAAAUGUCACGGGGUAACAGGCUCCAGUCUGGCCACCUUCUCUUCUCUACCUGCACCUUCCCGUUAGGUGCACUCAUCCCUUCUCAUGGCUUUAAAUGCCUUCCACAUGUUGAGUCCCAGACUUACAUUUCUGACCCUAAACUUACCUCAAUGCUCCAGAUUUGCAUAUUCAACUGUCUACUGUGUAGAUAUUGACUGAGUGACUUAAAUUUAACACAUUCCAAACAGAGCUUUUGAUUUUCUCCGUUUAUACCCAAGCUGUGCUCAACCACCUUGGGGACGUGUCGUCAGGCCCUCCUGAGGCUGUGUCAUGGCCGUGCCCUUAAUCUUGGCAAAAUACACUUUCUAAAUUGUUUGAGACCUGUCCCAGACGUUUCAGGUUUACAUCCCCUACACUUCAUCCACAUUGGCUUAGCUCCUUCCUGCCCGUCUAUUCCCUCUACUUAGAACGGUCUUGUACUACCUCCUUUCAUGUCUGACGUCUAGUCGUUCAGGCCUCAGUUUUGCUAUUAUUCCACAGAGAAUCCCUCCCUGACCUUGUCCCUGUCAUUGUCAUUGAUGUUUAUUUCCUUCCUAGCCCUUUGCACAUUCUGAAAUGGUUUCUGCUUUUAUCUGUUUGUAUCUCUGCCCCCAACACACACACUAGAAUGUAAGUUCAUCCUGUUCCCAAUUAUUUUAUAAAACCAAUAGAUGCUCAGUAAUGUUCACCGAAUGGGUAACAAAUGAAUCCAUCUCAAAAGGUAUUGGGAAACACUAAAACACUACUUUUCAGGGUCCCCAGAGGCAGAUAGCAAAAGAAGCAGGGUCUAGUGCCGUGUCCCCAGCGAACUCUGCCUCUCACUGAGCCCUCCUUCAGUCUUCCAUAUUUUUUAGGAACCUCCUGCUUUGGCCUUGGCAUUGCCACUGUAUUGGCCUUAAGGUUUGUCCCCUGAUUAAAGAAAGAAAUUUGCCUUUAAACAGCACAAAUUCUCCUUUGCAGUGAAAUUAGGGUUAAACACUGUCAACAUAGCAGCAUUUCACUCCGAGGGACGAUAUGUACCAAAUUGGAUCACAUGGCUGGUGUGGUUUGUUGGUGAUCCAAGCCAUGUUCAUUUUUUAAAUGAACUUGUGAAAGCAUCCGAGCCUCUGAGUGAAAUCAGCACGCACUUGCAGCUUCCAUUGCCUUCAGCUUUGUUCCUCUAAAACCAUGACGUCACACUUGUUUUUUUUUUUUUUUUCGGAUCCAGAAAUCUUGCUUCAUCUCCUUGUUUUGAUGUGUGUUGUUAAUGUGCACUGUGAAGUGACUAUUGUCUUCUGCUCCAUUUGUGGAAAUUGUAGCUCUUUUAGAUAUCAUAUGAGCACUGGAAAGAGAGACUUAAAAUGCACCUUGUCGUUCCCUGAAACAUGUUAUCUUAUGUACCCAAACUUUGGUUUUCUCUCCGGUGAUGAAGUGUGGGUCAUAACUUCUUCCCCCUACAUUUUAAAGGAUCAAGUGAAAUCACACAUGGAAAUGCAUUUUGGAAUCUGUGAAGUCAUAUGUCAAUUGCUUAUUGUUGUAAUUUUACUUAUAGUAAGACAUUUAAAAAAUGACAUCGUGGUAUGGUUGCGAGGUCACUGGGCCAGGAAACAGAAACCUUAUGCCUGGCAUUGGUCUUGAAACCACACUGAGACACAGGGUCUUGACCUUGAAAAUGAGGAACUAGAUGAAAUCAUCCUGCAUGUCUAGGAAACUCUAAUAUGUAAAGCUUUGCCAUUAUACAUAGGGCUUCAGGUACUAAAAUGAGGAAACAGUGUCUUCUUUCUUCUUCAAAUCUCCAUACACUUCAUCUAUAGGAAAAAUGACAUUCCAUUAAAUUGCAUAGAAAUAAAUUGCUCAGUAAUUUCGUACUUACUAUUGCAUACUUUUUAGCACCCACCGUCUGCCAGGCACUCUCAUAAUAAUUCAAGCUUUUAUUCUAUAUGACUUUGAAAGCAGAUUUACUUUACAUUAUCUCAUGUGAUUUUCUGAAAUGCCUUCAAUGGAGGGUAGGACCGAGAUUACUAGGCCCACUUUACAGAAAGAGAAGUGGAAGGUAAGAGAAAUUAAAGGAGCUGCCCAGUUUCACAGAUCUAGUAAGCAGGCAUCCAGGUUUGGUCCCAGUGAUCUUGGACUUAGCAAAACUGGUGUUUUUUCAACUUUGAUGGAUAGAUUUGUGACAUGGUCUCUGUCCUUAAGAUGGGAAUCUUCGAAGACAGCUCUUAAAAUUUGGUAGAUACACCUCCUGUAAAGGAACAAGGUUACAAAGUCGCAACCUUUGGAUGUACCAAGAAAAUGUAGUUUCUUCCUCUUUUGAAGCUGCUCUAUGAGUUUCUGCCUACUAGAAAGAAGAGAAAAUGAAUAUACAACAUAAUUUUUCUCAUUUGGCUUGAUUCAAGGAGUUAAACAAGGUCUACAGGUGUAACUCAGCCAUUUGGGGCUACUUUCUCAUUCUUUCCAUUCUGUCCCUCCUAUUUGGCCCUGAGAUAUUGUCUAGGACUUGGAAGAAGGUGGAGUGGGGAAGAAAGCACUUGCCCUCGUGUGGUCUUUGGGUGUGUGCUGGGUUUUGUCUUCCGAGCUGGCCCAAGUUCCAUUCUGGGAUAUCCUGAUGGGUCUACUGUUGAUGUCUGCAGUUGGUAAAGUGGUGAGCUAUCAUUUUUCCAUUCAUGCAGAGCUGGGGGCCCUUCCCUGCUAAGUGUACCUCUUUCAACUCUCACUGGCCCUCCAGACUCCUCUCAACUUGCCUCUGUUCUCUUCGUCUUGCAUUCAGGGCCUGCCCUACAUAUCCAAUCUCAUCUAAAUCCAUCACCUGCCUCAACUUCUUGAAGCUCUGCAUGCCACGAGAGUCAUCGUUCCUGGCUACAGCCCAUUAGGGGACACUUAACCCACCCAUGUAGCCUGUGACCAGAUUCUCUCUCUCUCUCUCUCUCUCUGUCUCUCUCUCUCUCUGUCUCUCUCUCUCUCUCUCUGUCUCUCUCUCUCUCUCUCAUCUCUCUCCUCUCUCUUCUCUCUGUCUCUUUCCCCUCAAGAAAUUGAGCAAAGGACACAGAAACAGGUCAGGAGAUUGAGCUGAAAGAUCCUUUAUCAGGACUGGUACCUUGGCAAGUUGAAGCCAUAUGCACACUUAAGUUGCAUGGAAGCAGAGAAAUCCUGAGUAGUAAUAACAGUGAUGGCCACUGUUUAUUGAGCAUUCAUCACGGCAGGUGCUAUGUGAAGUGUUUGACAUGUGUUAUUUAAUUUUUAUAACCGCCAUCCAGAUAUAUGUCUGUCUAUCCAUCUAUCUAUCUAUCAUCUAAAGAAAGAAAAUUACUGUGACCACCCAACAGAUGAGGAACUAAGAGUUUAAAAAGUUUUAAAACUUGUCCAAGGUCAUGCAGCUAAGAUACUAGAAUAAAAGCCCAGGCAGUAUAAUCUCACAGCUAUUUACUCUGUGGCUGGAGUGUAGAGAGGAUGAUGGAGCAAAAUAUACAGAGGGAUGGAGACUAUAUGGUCUUAGACAGAGAGAUGGUGGACAAACUGACUGAUAGACACAUCUAGAUUGACUAAGAGGUUAGCUGCUUAGCCCCAAGAGAUUUUCAGUAUUCCAUAUCUUCGCAUGUCCUUUUUCCCUCAGUGUCUGAAUACACUCAGUACUCCUUCUAUGCUCUGCCUCCCUUUCCCAUCUCCACACUUGCUUACAUAGCUCAAGAGAGUUUCUCUUUCUUGCAACCAGUAGCACUUUGGAGAAAAGAUCCUUCAACUAGACACCCUGUCCCUAGUAUUCUGGUUCUUCUCCUACUUUUCCUGUAUACCAACCUUCACUUUCAGCCAAAAUGGUCUAUUUAUUGUGCCCUAAUUACCUCUAGAAAUUUCCCCAUCUGAGGCUUGGAAGUCUCUUUUCUAUCAUUCCCAACUCUAUAGAUCUACCUGCUAUUCACACUCCACCUUCUCCAUGAAGCAGAUGUUCUCUUCACACCCUCAACUCCACAGCACCGUAUUUUCAGCCACCUGGAGCACCGGUUCUACAUCUAUCACAUUACACGUUCUCCUUUCGUAUUUGUCUUAUUCCCCGUGGGCUACAUAGUCUUGCCUGCACCCAUGUGGUACUGUGUCCACUGGAGGAGCUCGGUCAGUAUUUGUGGAAUCUCUGGGAAGGAGUGGCGCUUUAAACUUUAAAGCUGGAGAAACGUACAUGCUCAAUUCAGCAAACCCCCAUCAAGUGCCCGCUAUGAGCCAGCAGGGACCAUGUUACUAUAGCCAUGAAAAGAAUGCAGUCUUUAAUUACAGAGGAGACAAAUAGAGACUCUGUGAGCUAUGAUGAAGAGGGCUGGGAGGGCCAUAGGUAGAGGAUCAGGUGACUGCAGGUGACAGGGAUUAAAUCCGCCCAUGAGGUGGCAUCCAGGAAGGUUUUCCAGAGGAGAUCACAUUUGGGCUUGCCUUAAAACUGGGACAGAGGUUCUCUAGGCUGAGACGUGGAGGAGUAGGGAUGGACAAGACAGACACAGAACAAAAAUGAAGGUGCAAAAGCACAUGAUGUGUUUGUAAAACUGUCAGAAAACCAGUGUGUCUGUACAUGUGGGUAUGUGUGCAUGAUGUGUGUGUCUGUGUGUGUGUGUCUGUAUGUGUGUAGUGUGUGCAUGUGUCUGUGUAUUGGAAGGUUUGGGUGAAGAACAACAUAGUGGGGAAAAUGGGGAAUUGGAUCUGAAAUGAGAAGGGGUCGAGUUGUGGACAACAUCACAUUUAAUAUUAAAUACUUUAAACAAUUUGGUAGGCAGAGGGAGCUAAGUAAAGGCUUUGAAGCAGCCAAGCAAUGCGAUCAGGCUUGUGUCUUAGAAGAUAACUAUGGAUGCAUGGUAGAGCAUUCAAGAAGGUGAGCACUGUACCCACUGAUAACCAUCUGCCAAGCAUUUACACCUGUGUCUGUCCCUACACCUUCAUCCAUAUUCAUAUCUAUAUCCAUAUCUAUCUAUGAAUCUAUCAACCUAAUAUCCUCCAGUGGUUUUCAACUGGGGGCAAUUUUAUCCCCCAGAGACAUUUUAUAAUUAUCUAUCUGGAGACAUUUUUAGUUGUCACAACUUGGGAUGCUACUAAAUGUCCACCAACACACAGGACAGCCCCUGACAACAAGGAAUUAUUUGGCCCCAAAUGCCAAUGGUGCCAAGACUGAGAAACCCUGACCUACCUGCCUGUAGAAACCUGCUCAGGUGUCAACUCUAACUUGAUCUAAAUCGACUAAGCAAACCCUUCAAAGAGAAACCAGUUCCCUUUCUAUUCCUCUCUCUCUCUUUCAAGAUCCUCAAAGCUUAACUAGGUCAAAAGCAGUAUGAAUGUAGUUCAGUUUUGUUUUUAUGCUGCUGAGUUUAAGCCAAGAGUGGCCUGGUAUUUGUCUUCUUGUUUGACAUGAACAUUCUUUCUAAGAGCAUUGAGUCUGUAGAGCUGGUUUCAUAAAUGGAUGGGUUUCUAGAUGUGAUAAUAAAUGCUAACGUUUAGAGAAUACUCACUAUUUCCAUGCACUUUCUUAUUAUUAUCUCCAUUUUCCAGUGGAGGAAGCUGAUGCAGAGAGUGAUUUACUUAGAGACUCACGGUCAACUGGCACAUUUAGUAAUUGAUGGAGCUAGACCUGAAAUGUAGGUCAGUUGGACCACUGAGUCUGGCUCCUAACCAUCAUGCUGUGUUGGUCUUUAAUGCACUGUACUAGAUUCAUUAUAAUUUCCUUCUAUGGUAUUGGUCUGAUGAGCCUAAUCCUUUUUGACUUGAAAAUGCAAGGGUGGCUGAAAGCGGGAGAGGGGUGCACAGCUGUGCUGCGUCAGGCAGAACCUUUUGCAAGUAAAAUGAAAACAGUUUCGCAACAACCGCAGGAAAAAGAGAUUAUAAACUGAUAAAAGUGUCUGGAUCACUCGAGUACACUGAUUUAUGACUAGUACCAUGUCCCUUUGAGAAAGAAUACUAUAUGAUGAUUCAUAUUUGGCAUAAAAGAUGUUGCCUCUAGCUGAGGAAGCUGGCAGGUUCUCUCCUGCCUUCUUAUAUAAAUAUUUAAGAGCUAUGCAUCAUCAUUUAUUAGAUUUUCUGAAAAUUACAGGUGUGAGCCUCUUUCCAGAAUACUGGCUUUCUAAGUAGGCCUUAUCAGAUCAUCUAUAACUUACAUCCUUAAAAAAGAAUUGGGUUUUUUAGGCCACUUGAAGAUUUCAGAGCCACUUCUGGGAAGCACUGCUCUCUGUGGGACUGCAACACACUUGCUGCUGGGCAUGGUUUGCUCCAUGUAGCUGCUGGUACUGAAGGUCUCUCCCGGUGCCUGAUGUGGGAUGUGCCUCACCUCUUACUGCAGGGACAUAAUCAAGCUGAACUCUACUAGUUCAACUAGUUCCACACUCUGGAGCAUAACCCCAGAACUGGGCAUGCCAUAAAGAGAUGAGCCAGGUGCAGUGGCUCACGCCUGUAAUCCCAGCACUUCAGGAGGCCGAGGCGGAUGGAUCACCUGAGGUCAGGAGUUCGAGACCAGCCUAGCUAACAUGGUGAAACCCCGUCUGUACUAAAAAUACAAGAAUUAGCCAGGCAUGGUGGCAUGCACCUGCAAUCCCAGGUACUCGGGAGGCUGGAGCAGGAGAAUCGUUUGAACCCGGUAGGCAGAGGUUGCAGUGAGCCAAGAUUGCACCACCGCACUCCAGCCUGGCGACAAGAGCAAAACUCUGUCUCAAAAGAGAGAGAGAGAGAGAGAGAGAGAAAGGAAGGAAGGAAGGAAGGAAGGAAGGAAGGAAGGAAAUGUAGCCAUGGAGACUAUCAGGGUAGGGGAAAGAAGAAUGAUUUCCUCACCCAUUGCAAGGAUCAUGGCUGAGACUCCUAUAACAAAAGACAGAUUAACAAGGGAAAGCAGACACAUUUAUUUAAUUCAAGUUUUUUUUUUUUUU
rnacentral:lncRNA from 1 species